rnacentral:lncRNA from 1 species
CUCCUAGAUCCUUUUCACAUGUACUGCUCUCAAGCCAGGUGUCCCCCACCUUGUAUUUGUGCCUCUCAUUUUUUUUGCCCAAGUGCAAUACUUUACAUUUCUCCCUGUUCAAAUUCAUCUUGUUUGUUUUGGCCCAGUUCUCUAAUCUGCCAAGGUCGUUUUGAAGUGUGAUCCUGUCCUCUGGGGUGUUAGCCACCCCUCCCAGUUUGGUGUCAUCUGCAAAUUUGAUCAGGAUGCCCUUGAGUCCAUCAUCCAAGUCGUUGAUAAAGAUGUUGAAUAAGACCGGGCCCAAGACAGAACCCUGUGGCACCCCACUAGUCACUCUUCUCCAGGAUGAAGAGGAACCAUUGAUGAGCACCCUUUGGGUUCGGUCAGUCAGCCAGUUACAAAUCCACUGAGUGGUAGCAUAGUCAAGACCGCAUUUUACCAGCUUCUUUACAAGAAUAUCAUGGGGCACCUUGUCAAAUGCC